rnacentral:rRNA from 1 species
UGGGGAAUUUUGGACAAUGGGCGAAAGCCUGAUCCAGCAAUGCCGCGUGUGUGAAGAAGGCCUUCGGGUUGUAAAGCACUUUUGUCCGGAAAGAAAUCCUUGGCUCUAAUACAGUCGGGGGAUGACGGUACCGGAAGAAUAAGCACCGGCUAACUACGUGCCAGCAGCCGCGGUAAUACGUAGGGUGCAAGCGUUAAUCGGAAUUACUGGGCGUAAAGCGUGCGCAGGCGGUUUGCUAAGACCGAUGUGAAAUCCCCGGGCUCAACCUGGGAACUGCAUUGGUGACUGGCAGGUUAGAGUAUGGCAGAGGGGGGUAGAAUUCCACGUGUAGCAGUGAAAUGCGUAGAGAUGUGGAGGAAUACCGAUGGCGAAGGCAGCCCCCUGGGCCAAUACUGACGCUCAUGCACGAAAGCGUGGGGAGCAAACAGGAUUAGAUACCCUGGUAGUCCACGCCCUAAACGAUGUCAACUAGUUGUUGGGGAUUCAUUUCCUUAGUAACGUAGCUAACGCGUGAAGUUGACCGCCUGGGGAGUAACGGCCGCAAGGUUGAAACUCAAAUGAAUUGACGGGGUCAUAGCUGUUUCCU